GAAGAAAGAGGGAGGAGGGAGGAACACAGGCAAGUCGAACGGAAAGGCCCUGCUUUUGUGGGGUGCUCGAGUGGCGAACGGGUGAGUAACACGUGAGUAAAAUGCCCUUGACUUUGGGAUAACUUCAGGAAACUGGGGCUAAUACCGGAUAGGAGCUCCUGCUGCAUGGUGGGGGUUGGAAAGUUUCGGCGGUUGGGGAUGGACUCGCGGCUUAUCAGCUUGUUGGUGGGGUAGUGGCUUACCAAGGCUUUGACGGGGAGCCGGCCUGAGAGGGUGACCGGCCACAUUGGGACUGAGAUACGGCCCAGACUCCUACGGGAGGCAGCAGUGGGGAAUAUUGCACAAUGGGCGGAAGCCUGAUGCAGCAACGCCGCGUGCGGGAUGCCGGCCUUCGGUUUGUAAACCGCUUUCGCCUGUGACGAAGCGUGAGUGACGGUAAUGGGUAAAGAAGCCCCGGCUCCCUACGUU
rnacentral:rRNA from 1 species